CCUACGGGAGGCAGCAGUGAGGAAUAUUGGUCAAUGGGCGUAAGCCUGAACCAGCCAAGUCGCGUGAGGGAUGAAGGUUCUAUGGAUCGUAAACCUCUUUUAUAAGGGAAUAAAGUGUGGGACGUGUCCUGUUUUGUAUGUACCUUAUGAAUAAGGAUCGGCUAACUCCGUGCCAGCAGCCGCGGUAAUACGGAGGAUCCGAGCGUUAUCCGGAUUUAUUGGGUUUAAAGGGUGCGUAGGCGGCCUUUUAAGUCAGCGGUGAAAGUCUGUGGCUCCACCAUAGAAGUGCCGUUGAAACGGGGAGGCUUGAGUAUGUUUGAGGCAGGCGGAAUGCGUGGUGUAGCGGUGAAAUGCUUAGAUAUCACGCAGAACCCCGAUUGCGAAGGCAGCCUGCCAGGCCAUGACUGACGCUGAUGCACGAAAGCGUGGGGAUCAAACAGGAUUAGAUACCCCAGUAGUC
rnacentral:rRNA from 1 species